rnacentral:lncRNA from 1 species
GUAAACUAUUGUUAGUCUCUGCGUUGUGUUUUGUUGACUUUUGUUAGUCUCACCGUUGUGUUUGACUCAGUAUUGUGUGUUGAAAGCACUCGUUUGUCUCCGUGUUGUGUUGGGGUUUGUAGACUACUGUUUGUCUCAGUGUUGUGUCAGGUAGACUAUUAAAUUCUCUGUCUCGGUGUCAUGGUUUGAAUGGUACUGUAUACCUCGUUGCUGUAGUUUGUUGACUAGUGUUUGUUUCUUUUUUAAUGUGGCGUUUUCUGUCCUCAGUACCGAUUUGUUUGAUUAACUCGUUGAAUCAUCAUAUUUAAAUACAGUGGUUGGAAAGCCUGCAUCGAUAAACUAAAGAAAAAUGACAAGUAUGGUAGCGUAAAUAAUCA